rfam:Triticum aestivum genome assembly, contig: Triticum_aestivum_CS42_TGACv1_scaffold_226942_3B
CAAGUACUCCCUCUGUCCGGAAUUACUUGUCAUCAAAAUGGAUGUGUCUAGAACUAAAAUACAUCUAGAUACAUCCAUUUCAAUGACAAGUAUUUUUGGACGGAGGGAGUACAAG